GACGAACGCUGGCGGCGUGCCUAAUACAUGCAAGUAGAACGCUGAAGAGAGGAGCUUGCUCUUCUUGGAUGAGUUGCGAACGGGUGAGUAACGCGUAGGUAACCUGCCUUGUAGCGGGGGAUAACUAUUGGAAACGAUAGCUAAUACCGCAUAACAAUGGAUGACACAUGUCAUUUAUUUGAAAGGGGCAAUUGCUCCACUACAAGAUGGACCUGCGUUGUAUUAGCUAGUAGGUGAGGUAAGGGCUCACCUAGGCGACGGUACAUAGCCGACCUGAGAGGGUGAUCGGCCACACUGGGACUGGGACACGGCCCAGACUCCUACGGGAGGCAGCAGUAGGGAAUCUUCGGCAAUGGGGGCAACCCUGACCGAGCAACGCCGCGUGAGUGAAGAAGGGUUUCGGAUCGUAAAGCUCUGUUGUAAGUCAAGAACGGGUGUGAGAGUGGAAAGUUCACACUGUGACGGUAGCUUACCAGAAAUGGACGGCUAACUACGUG
rnacentral:rRNA from 1 species